rnacentral:rRNA from 1 species
GAUGAACGCUGGCGGCGUGCUUAACACAUGCAAGUCGAACGAUGAAGCCCAGCUUGCUGGGUGGAUUAGUGGCGAACGGGUGAGUAACACGUGAGUAACCUGCCCUUGACUCUGGGAUAAGCCUGGGAAACUGGGUCUAAUACUGGAUAUGACUUCUCACCGCAUGGUGGGGGGUGGAAAGAUUUAUUGGUCUUGGAUGGACUCGCGGCCUAUCAGCUUGUUGGUGAGGUAAUGGCUCACCAAGGCGACGACGGGUAGCCGGCCUGAGAGGGUGACCGGCCACACUGGGACUGAGACACGGCCCAGACUCCUACGGGAGGCAGCAGUGGGGAAUAUUGCACAAUGGGCGCAAGCCUGAUGCAGCGACGCCACGUGAGGGAUGACGGCCUUCGGGUUGUAAACCUCUUUCAGUAGGGAAGAAAGCGAAAGUGACGGUACCUGCAGAAG